AUACUUCCCUGCCAGGGGAGACACCAUGAUCACGAAGGUGGCUUUCCCAAGGAAAGGCAGAUCUAUUGCACUCUAGAUGUGUUGACCCAUGAGAUUUCCCCAAAUGUGGGAAACUCAACUGCAUAAUUUGUGGAAGUGAAGGACUGUGUUUGUGCUUUCAUGUG